UCUAUUUUGGCAGAUUAAUGUGUUAAAUUUAGGAUUUAUUUAUGUGAAGAAUAUUUACAAGUAGAA
rnacentral:tRNA from 1 species